CCUUCACAAAGGGCCUUGUGGCACCAAAGCCCCAGGGUCACCUCAACCUCCACAAGCUCGGAAACCUUGAAGGUUGUUGGGCUUCUUUAUUUAUACGUUUUACUACAUUAGCUAAUUAGCUUUCUUCCCAGGCCCCAUUACUGUUCCCUCAAGUGUAUCGUGGCCUCAGCUCUAAUGACAGGCAGCCACUCAGCCUGGCCAGGGAAGACAUUCUCUUUCAAGCCCACAGGGAUCAGUCGGGAAGGAGAGAGGAAGGAGAGGGGAGAUUGGAUUACGGGGUGUCAGGCGAGGGUCACUGCUCCCCCCACCUCUUUCUGCCUUCCAGCAAGGACAGCGAGAUCAGCAUUUCCCUUCUUGCAGUGGGGCGCCCUUCCUGAGCCAAGAGAAGAAGGCCCACGUGCAAUUCUGUAGGCUUCCCAAUCUGGCCUGAGCCCAGAG